GAUGAACGCUGGCGGCGUGCUUAACACAUGCAAGUCGAACGGAAAGGCCAGUGCUUGCACUGGUACUCGAGUGGCGAACGGGUGAGUAACACGUGGGUGAUCUGCCCUGCACUUCGGGAUAAGCCUGGGAAACUGGGUCUAAUACCGGAUAGGACAAUGGCUUGGAUGCCGUUGUGGAAAGUUUUUUCGGUGUGGGAUGAGCUCGCGGCCUAUCAGCUUGUUGGUGGGGUAAUGGCCUACCAAGGCGUCGACGGGUAGCCGGCCUGAGAGAGUGUACGGCCACAUUGGAACUGAGAGACAGGCCAGAGUGCUGCGGGAGGGAGAAGGGGGGAAUAUUGCACAAUGGGAGCAAGCGUGAGGGAGCGAGGCCGCGUGGGGGAUGAGGGCCUUCGGGUUGUAAACACAUGUCGCUAGGGACGAAGCGUAGUUGUGACGGUACCUGAAGAAGAAGCACCGGCUAACUACGUG
rnacentral:rRNA from 1 species